rnacentral:rRNA from 1 species
UCCAGACUCCUACGGGAGGCAGCAAUGGGGGAUAUUGCACAAUGGGGGGAACCCUGAUGCAGCGACGCCGCGUGGGUGAAGGAGCGUUUCGGCGCGUAAAGCCCUAUCAGCAGGGAAGAACAAUGACGGUACCUGACUAAGAAGCACCGGCUAAAUACGUGCCAGCAGCCGCGGUAAUACGUAUGGUGCAAGCGUUAUCCGGAUUUACUGGGUGUAAAGGGAGCGCAGGCGGCGCGUUAAGCCUGGUGUGAAAGCCCGCGGCCCAACCGCGGGACUGCAUUGGGAACUGGCGCGCUGGAGUGCCGGAGGGGCAGGCGGAAUUCCUGGUGUAGCGGUGAAAUGCGUAGAUAUCAGGAGGAACACCGGUGGCGAAGGCGGCCUGCUGGACUGCGACUGACGUUGAGGCCCGAAAGCGUGGGGAGCAAACAGGAUUAGAUACCCGUGUA